AUUGAACGCUGGCGGCAGGCCUAACACAUGCAAGUCGAACGAGUGGCGGACGGGUGAGUCAUGUCUGGGAAACUGCCCGAUGGAGGGGGAUAACUACUGGAAACGGUAGCUAAUACCGCAUACCAUCGGAUGUGCCCAGAGGGGAUUAGCUUGGGGGUGAGGUAACGGCUCACCUAGGCGACGAUCCCUCGCUGGUCUGUGAGGUUGACCAGCCAAACUGGAACUGAGACACGGUCCAGACUCCGACGGUAGUCAGAAUUGGGGAAUAGUGCACAAUGGGCGCAAGCCUGAUGCAGCCAUGCCGCGUGGAUGAAGAAGGCCUUCGGGUUGUAAAGUACUUUCAGCGGGGAGGCGUUACCCGCAGAAGAAGCACCGGCUAACUCCGUGCCAGCAGCCGCGGUAAUAC
rnacentral:rRNA from 1 species